GUUGCAUACAUGGAGAAUGGCUCUAUGCAGCCAAGUAUAGACCCCACCCUUAUCAGCUGAGAGCAGACUCAGGGAGCAUGACGUUUUUGCAGCCAAACAUGACCUGUUAUCCAAUUAGACACACUUAUUGGAUGCCACAUGUAUCUGAUAAUCAAACUGGUGGUGUGGACAGAGAAGAUAAGCAAUGUUUAGGUCAGAUUAGUCCUCACCUGCUUCACUUCCACAGAACUGCCAUCAAAGUGAACCAGCACAGGACUCUCAGAUGACCUGCUACACAGCUUUGUUUUUAAAAUUACAAGGCAAAAGAACAUGGAGGAAAACCUAACAACCAUGAAAACUUGGGUCAACAAAUGGAUAUCGACACAGUCUACAAUCAAAUAUACUUUUUCGGUGAAUGCAUCCAAACUUCAAGAAUCACAGAAAGAAAUAGACACAGACUCCCUCGAGGAUCAAACAUCAGCAAUUCCAAAGGACAAAAGGGGGACAGAAAAUAUAACAGAUACAACAUCAUUACAAAAUUCUGUAACAUUAGAUGAUCAGCAUCAAAAUAAAAAAAUUAAAGAACAACAGAAGGAGCAUUUUGAAUCCAAACAUUGUUUUGCAGAAGGCAAAAAUGGGGAGCAGGACUUUUGCUUACAGAUGCGAACUGAAAUUCAUGAAGAAGCAGUGCAUGAUAAAACUGAAUUACUGAUAAUUGUAAGAGAAAGGGAAGAAGUGGAAAAACUGAUAUGUAACCUAAAGCAGCAAGAGGGGGAAAUAAAGGAGCAAAUAAAGUACACUGUUGAUAACAUGAAAGAAAAAACUCAAGACAUCAAAAGGCUCAUUUUGGAAAUAAAUGACCUGCAGAGGGCAGACACUGUAAUUACAGUCGGUGAAACUGAAAAUGCCCAGGAAGUAUUAACUAAGCUGUUGGAAGAAACUGAACAGAGAAAGAUUUUGAUGGUGAACACCAAAGUUUUCAAAAAUGAAAUAAUGAAAUAUGAAGUACAAGAGGAGGACGAUGCCAAAAAAAUAAAACAAGAGUCUAGCUUGAUAAGACUUGAUAUUAACAAGCAAAAACAAAUUCAGAAAUCAGGAGAAGAGAUGAAAAAACAUGUUGAACACACAGAUGAAAAUAAAAAGGACAGAGGAGCCGAUGUACAAAGACUCAGGGCAGAGAUUUACAAAACACAAGAGAUUAUAAGAACGCUAAGAGGAGGACUUGAGAACCUAGUGGAAAAAAGUAACAUGGACAAAGAUCAAAAGAAUGAAGGCAGUGAAAUUGAAGGAUUGCUAAAAGACAUCAAACAGUUUCAAGAGUUUUUGGAAAUUGUAAAAGCCACAAUAAAGCAAAGUGAAGUACAUAUGACAGAAGAAAUGAGCAAUAUGAAAUCAAUUAAAACUGCAGUGAAAAAGAAGAGAAGAGAAUUAGAUCAAAGGUUAGAAAAUACUUCAAAAGAGAGAGACAGAUUAGACAUCUUUAAAAUAAAAAUGCAGAGGCAAACUGAACUGAUUCGGCAGAAUUUAGAAAAAAUGGCAAAAGUUAAGAGCACAAUCGAGAAAAUAGCCACUCAGACCAGAAGGAAAAUUGAAGAGAUAGAAAUUAGUAUGAAGGAGACUGAAAUAAAACUAAGACAGUUUAAAGACCUUGACUACAUUAACCUUAACAUAACAAAAGGCGCAAAACCAGACAUGGAACAUGGUACUACACCUAAGCAAAGAACUGCUCUUGAAAUUUUCAAGACUGAAAUUAGGAAGACAAUGGACAAUAAAAGAGAUAAACUGACAAAAACCAAAAUGGACAAAGAAACUGAGGGAACAGAAAUCCUCAAACAAGUUAAAGAGAAACUGGAUGAUGUAAGACUUUCAUUAGACAGUCUGGGUCAUAAAAAAAAAAAAUCAGUUAGUGAGACUGUGAAACAAAUAAUUAAGAGAGAAGAGACUGAGGUGACAGAACAGAUCCAAACAGCGAUAAAGAAUGAGAAAAUAGUUAAACAACUAGCUGAAACAGAAAUACAGGAUGAACAGAUGAACCAUUUGAGGGGGAAAACUGAAAGACACAAACAGGAGUUUGAUGACAGAGUACACAUGACAAAAAGGCAAAUAAGAGAAAUGGAGCUGCUACAAUCAGAAUUGAAAAUAAAGACAAAAGAACUGGAGCGUUUAUUUAGAAAAACCAUGAGAAAAAAGGAGGAAAUUGAAAUAAUGUGGAAUGAAAUGCAACGAGAAAAGGAAGCAUUGAGGACCGAGAUCAAAAAGAAAAGAAGAGAAUUAGACCAAAGACUGGAGAUAACUCUGAGAAAAAGGGAUGAACUAGAAAUGUUAAGGGUAAAAUUGAAACGACAGAUGGAAGAGCUGGCUGAGGAGAAGCAGAGAGACCAUAAUCUGUUCAUCCAUCUACCCAAUGAACAUGAAAAACAUUGGGAAAGCAAAGAUGCGAAAAUGUUCAUGGAGAAACUUAAAAACCACAGCUCAAAAGUUUCUCAUUAUAUUAUUUACAUCCAAAACAUAAGAGAAAGGGUUAAUUUACACAUGGGAACAAUUAGGACAGAGAUGAAAAUUCUAGAAAAUGUGAAUGCUCAUUUAGAAAAGGACAGGAAGGGAUUCAGAGAAGUUGAGGCUGAAAAUAAGAAUAUAACAAACAAAAUGAGGAGAUUAAAAUAUCAGCUUAAUAUAAUCUUUGAAAGAGUUAGCAUACAAGACACUGCAGAGAUGGAUGAAACAAUCAACAUGUGGGAAAAAAUCCAAAGACAAAAACAGAGGCUUGAUAUGAGACUAGAAAGUAUUAAAAGGGAAAGACAAGAGAUCGAAGCUCUGGUGGUUGAGCUGGAGAUGAAGAAAAGAGAAAACCAACGUGUAAUCAAAAGAAGCAUUCAAAAAGAACAGCAGAUAAAAAGAAUAUGGGUUACUUUCAAAGAAGAAAGAACUGCCCUCGUGAGAGAAACAAAGCAGAAAAAGGAGCUUGAACAACGACGAGAGGAGAUCAUCAAACAUCAAGGUGAACAAGAAAAAAAGCAGAAGUUGCAAAAAGGAAAGAAAGGGACGAAAAGUGAAAUUGAAGACAUGAGGAUGACAGAAAAAAGGAAGCAAAUUAAAAAGCAUUGGGAACUAAUCAACAAAUACUUAGGGGAAUAUAACAAGGUAAUUAAAAACACUCAAAUCAUCAUUGGAAUAAUUCAGAAUGAAAAUAAGCACAUGCAAGACCAAAAGAAUUUCUACAUGACCAGAAGAAAAGAAGUACUGAAUAUGAAAAGCGAGUUAGAUAGGCAAAAGGAAAUUAUAUGGUGCGCAUUAAAAAACAUAAAACAAGAGCGAAAACAUGGGGAACAAGUGGAGACAAAAAUCAAGACAGAGCAAGAAAAAAAUGAAAACGGAUGGAAAAAACAAUUUCAGAUAGAAAAAGAUGCCAUUGAUGACUUGAGUGCAGACAAGAGUCAAGACAAAGAAGAUGUUGAAAGAAUGACUGAGAUGUUGAAGAAGAACCAGAAACUUGACAUGAGAGGCUGUAAAGUCAAAAAAGAAAUUGACAUAUUAAAACAAAAAAAGGAAGACAUAAAAGAGGAAAAGAAAACCAGUGAAAUAAAAGAAAUGGGAAAAAAAAUAACGCAUAAGGAUGGUAUGAAAAGGGUUGUCUUACAAGACACAAAACAAGACUUCAUAAAAAAAGAGAUCAAAAAACGAAACCAGGGAAAACAAAAAGUCAACCAGAUGAGAACUAGACGUGAGAAUAGAAAAGAACUGUUGUUGAAGGAAAGGAGAAAUAUCAUAGAUGAGCAGAAAGAGAUGGAAAUGAGAGGAGACCAAAUCAUGAUAGAAAUGAAAUCACUAGAGAUUCUGAAAGUGAAACUUCGACAACUGAAGGAGCAUAUAAAAGCUAAAAUGGACAGAUUACUACAAAAUGCUGACAACAGGUCAAGGCUGCAAACAGUGUUGGAAGAAAAACUUACAACUCAAGACAAACAGAAAGAAAACAUUUGCUAUUUCACUGAAAUGUUAGAGAGGGAAAGGGAAGG
ensembl:lncRNA